rnacentral:rRNA from 1 species
GUCCACGCCGUAAACGAUGAGAACUAGGUGUCGUGGGUGUUGACCCCUGCGGUGCCGUAGCUAACGCAUUAAGUUCUCCGCCUGGGAAGUACGGUCGCAAGACUAAAAACUCAAAGGAAUUGACGGGGGCCCGCACAAGCGGUGGAGCAUGUGGUUUAAUUCGACGCAACGCGCAGAACCUUACCUGGUCUUGACAUCUAUCGAACCUGCCCGAAAAGGUGGGGUGCCCGCAAGGGAACGGUAAGACAGGUGCUGCAUGGCUGUCGU